UACGGAGGGUGCGAGCGUUGUCCGGAAUCACUGGGCGUAAAGGGCGCGUAGGCGGCCUGAUAAGUAGGGGGUGAAAUCCUGCGGCUUAACCGCAGGGCUGCCUUCUAAACUGUCGGGCUAGAGCACGGUAGAGGCAGAUGGAAUUCCCGGUGUAGCGGUGGAAUGCGUAGAGAUCGGAAGGAACACCAGUGGCGAAGGCGGCUACCUGGACAAAUACUGACACUGAGGCGCGAGAGCGUGGGUAGCAAACAGG
rnacentral:rRNA from 1 species